GGACAGAUAGCUCAGUGGUAGAGGUAUGGCGAGCAUGUCUCACUCUCCCACAUUCGAGGGCUAACAAUCAUAAUAGCGAGGGAUUGCAGAUCCCUAGGUCGCGUGUUCGAUCCACGCUCGGUCCU